GUCUAGUACACCUAUAAGAUUUCUGACACGUGCCAGAGCACGCAGCCCCCCCCCCCCUUGUCCGUCCUCUCUGCCUCUCCGAGUUGGCGCGUUUUUGGCGUAUGAAAAGCGGGUAGCUGCUUGCGUCGGCACCCUUGAGGCUCAUUCUUUCCUCUUCAACCCCUCCAGCUGUGAAGCGCACCUCUCGAUCAAGCCCCCCUCCUCCUCUUCCCCACAACCCGCCGCGAGAUGGAGUACGAGCAGGUGGAGUACGGCCGCCGCGUCGUGACGGAGGCGAUCAUUUCACAAGACAUCAACGACUACUACGAUGUUCUCUCCCCGCAGGUGCUCCUGGUCACGCACUUUCCUUACCCGUCUGCCAGUGCCGACAGCAACAUGCAGGCCGUGCAUCGAUGGGUGCAGAUGUCGGAGCGGCAGCACAUCGCCGCUGUAGACGCCGCUUCUGCCGCCGCUGCCGCUGCCGCUGCGGCUGCUAGCUCUGCCGCAGCGGGCGGCAGAGGGAGCGUCAAUAUCAACACGGGAAACCAGCUCAGCGCUGCUGCCGCUGCUCCGGCCCCCACCGCUGGCGCGUGUAGCGCUAGGAGCCAGAAGCGGCGUGCACGCGAGCUGUUGCAGCGUCAAGAGCAGUGGCGGAUCACCCAACAGCAGCGGUACGACUCAUUCCGAAAGCUUCGCGAGCUCCAUCAUAGCUGCGUCGCUGACGAGGGCGACGGGGACAACGACGUAGGCGGCACUGGAAGCACAGACGGGGCUGCCAGGGAUGGCAAAGAGGAUGCGGCCGCCGCUAGUGAGCAGUGUGCUGCCGAUGGACGCGGUGCGCCGGCUGCACCGCAGCCACAGCGACAACAAACCAGGACAGACAAGCAGCGUCUAGGACAAACCUUUGCCAAGGCGACCUCAGCACGCGAUCACGCCUCCAACGGCGGCGGAAGCGCCGCUGCCGCGGCGGCCGCACGUGCUGCCGACGGCGUGCACUGGUUCCAGCAGCAGCAAGCGCGGGUGCAGUUGCAGCCGCCAGAGCAGCGCACAAGGUCGAGCACUUUCCUGUCCUCUGAUGUGUCCGCGGUAUCUGCUGCUGCUGCCGCUGCCGCCGCCACCGCAGCGCAGAAGCGGCCUGCGUCCCGCGGCAACCCGAUCGCGUAUGAGGACGCCGUCACUAUAACAGAAGGCAAGCUGCUCGUCUCUUACCGCUUCUUCCAGCUGUUGCACUGGAUCGUCUCCUCAGACGGCAAGACGGCGCCCCCGGCCCACAUCGCCCCCAUCGAGGUCGACCUCCAGCUGCGCAAGGACAUUCUACAGGAGGCGGAGGUGUUAGCGCCGCCACCGGCCCCGACAACGGUGCAAGAGGCGUACAGUCAGCUGGGCCAGCAGUUCACAGAGCGCAACCAGCCGCUUAGUUGCGUGCGCACUGUCUGGGGCACUGACCACCUCCUCUUCGAGGACAAGAUCUUCUUCGACGACGGCCUCAUCGUCACAAUCCACCGCCGCAUGCUGACAGUGCCAGAGGUGCUCACCCGCGCGGCGCCGGCCGCAUCGUCGUCCCCGAAGACACUGCGCGAGCUGCCGCCAGCGCCGCUGUCGUCGCCGCAGACGCGGCUGUCCGAGAAGGGCAGUGCCGCAUCUCUUCCGACGGGAAAGGGAGGCCUGACACGUAAGCGUGAGCAGCACCUCUCGGCAGCGCGCUCCGAGCAGGUGUACCACGCCGUCGAGGCGUUUUACGGGAUGACGGCCACUCGCGUCGACGCGUGCAGUAACGCAUGGGCACUCCUGGACUUCUCCUUCGUCAAGGCGACGGAGCCGUCGAUGCUGCUGCGGCUGACGCCCGUCUCGGGGCACGUGCACGUCAACCGACUACCUCGCGCCGCCGCUGAUCCCCGGCUCUCCCAGGGCAUCUUCCUCAACCAAGAGAACGACCCCACCAAACCCCAACAGUCGGGCUCGAGCCGCACGCUCAUCAAGGCACGCAACAAGUAUGGAGAGGAGGAGGCGUACGAGUUCCAGACCCAACGGCACUGCUUCUCCUUCUACGAGGACGGCUCCGGCCGCGGCGCCGGGGGCGGUGAUGCAGGCGCUCCACAGCGCAACGGGAACAGAGCCUUGGGAGGCGACGGCGGCGCGGGUGCGGCGCGGUAUGAUGCGUCGUGCGUUCGGGUUUCGGGCUGCCACAUGCAGGCAAAGAUGGAUCAGCUUGUGCCGGUGCUGCGCCGCCUUGUUGUGAACUGCCUGCUCACACUGCACACACUGGACCUCAGCCAGAACAACAUAUCGUCCCUGCCAGACCUAAGCUUGCUGCCGCUGCAGAGCCUGAGGCUGCACGGCAACGCCAUCGCUGACUGGCGCGUUGUCGAGGCAAGGAUAGCACCGCUGCCGUACCUCGGCGUCCUCACCCUGCACGGCAACCCGAUCGCGGAGGACACGGAGAUAGAAGCCGUAGCCGGUAACAGCAGCAAGACGGCCGCGCGGGAUGCGCACUGCGCGGGCACCGUCGGCAAAGCCGCCAAGGGGAGCCGAGCAGACGGCGACUCGAAUUACUGGAAGCGACUGCUGGCGCUGCUGUUGCGUAGCCCGGAUCGCGUGGCGCCGCUGCGGCAGGUCGACUUCGUGACCCUCACAGGGCAAGACUACAACAUGGCGGGCGCGUACGAGAUGUUCACGAGGGGUCAGACGGGCCUGUUGGCCAAGGCGCGGUCGAUGAUGGGCAGCCGUACGCAGACAAAGCCGGCAGGCGCGACGACUUCGUCGUCGUCGAAGAGCGCGCAUGUCGUGGCGGGGCGUGGGUGAGAUGCCCAACGAUGCCAGGGGUAUGCGCGACCGCUGGUGGGGCGUGUGUGGGCCGUGACGGGUGCGCUGUGCACCUUCUGUUCUGUUCCCUCACCCCUGCACGUGGCACCAUCACCACCACCCUUCCGUCACAACGCGACUUGCACCCGCCGCUAUUUCUCUAUCUUCUGGGGUGCACACGCGUGCAUGCAUGGUGGCGUAUAUGCACUGAGCAGUCGGUGCUUCUCGGCUGCUUUCACUUUUCUAUUUUGCUCGCUCGCGAUCCUUCCCUUUACGCGGGCGUGUGCGCGUCACGCCGCCCCUCGUCCACUUCUUGUCCAGUGCACAUGUACGUACAAACCUUUCUGUUUUUCGUUUUCGAGCCGACAUUCACAGGCAGACAGAGAAGGAGAGAGCUGACGGGGCGUGGCGUUGGUGUUGGAUCCACGCGGGCGUGCUGCGUGCUGCCUUAACAUGGUCCGCUUCAUCCGCCGUCGAUCCUCAACUUUCUCGGCUUUCUCUGCGGUGUCUUGCUCGCCCUUCUCUUUGGUGUGUGCGCUCACUCGACACGGUGGCGGUGGCUUAGGAUGACGGACGUGCUGGAUGAGUGGGCACAGAGAGAUGCCCACCGACACACCGCCAAUCACCUGCGCUGCCUACCACGCAUGGCACACACAAACACACACGAACACCCUCUUAUGUUAUGACUGUCUUCUCUCGGGGUGGGAGCGGGAAGGAGGGAGGCGGCGGCCUUCACCUGUCCGUCUAGUCCUUUCUCACGUCGUGUCGCCCCUCUUUUUUGUUCUUGCCUUCUCCGUCAUGUACACCCCACCACGAUCACCACCGCCGGAAAAAAGAGGUAGCACCGACACAGACGUGCCGCUAAAGCGAGUAGGCGUACGCGCCUGCCGGCCGGAGGCACGCGGGCAUUCGUAGGGGACAGCCGCGCAGGUAUGCACGGCGCGGAGGGUGUCUGCGCAAUUUAGAGGAGGACAGGUUGGGUGUAGUGGAGAGACGAGCUCGUGGGGAUGAUGCAGGCGCGAGUGCGCAACUCGCUGCGAGCGGCGAGGCAGGGGUGCUCGCAAAGGACCGUCGCGCUCUCCGCUCCGUCAGCGCGACGGUCAUGCUUGAUCACCUCCAUCGCCCCCCUUUCUCUUUCUCUCACACGUGCGCUUUCCAGUUCAUUAUCAACCCUCCUUUCCUACGUGAGUAUCCGUGCGCCAACUCGCGCACUCCUUGUGCCUUCGCCACAUCUGCGUGCAUACGCAUGCACGGGCGCGUGCCAGCACUGUCUCCUUUCCCAUCUUCGCCUUCCUCAACGUCUUUUCCGCACACGACUGCACACGCGCCGUCAUCCAUGACAG
rnacentral:misc_RNA from 1 species